UUAUCCUACGCACACUCAUAUAUAUAUAUAGUAUGAUUGACAGAAUUCAAAAAUAUCACAUCUGUUAGUGAACAUUAUACAGGUAUCCUGAAUUCAGUGAGCAUCAUCGUUGUCACAGGAAGACAAUAAUUACUAGCAUUACAAGGAAUUAUCAAUAACAUGGCAGCGAGAAGAAUGAUUCUGUUGUUGGUCAUUAUCGGCGUAGCAGUGGCUUUGGAUGACCUACAGGCAGCUGAAGAAGAACUGGCUGAAAUCCAAGCACAUUUUAUGGAAAAAUACCCAGAGGGUGCACAACAGUAUAUUCCACUGCUCACAGAAGAUUUAGAAAAUGAUGCAAACAGUAUUGGCGUGUAGAUGCUGAACACAGCUACCUUCUAUUGACGGGCCGAGAAUGUCGUAAAUAACCUGAUGUGUUGAAUUGAAAUAAAUGGGCGAUGAAAAAAAUA